rnacentral:rRNA from 1 species
AGAGAUAGAGUGGAGGUUAUCCGGGAUACAGGUGGUGCAUGGUUGUCGUCAGCUCGUGUCGUGAGAUGUUGGGUUAAGUCCCGCAACGAGCGCAACCCUUGUCUUUAGUUACCAUCAUUCAGUUGGGGACUCUAGAGAGACUGCCGGUGAUAAACCGGAGGAAGGUGGGGAUGACGUCAAAUCAUCAUGCCCCUUAUGGCCUGGGCUACAAACGUAAUACAAUGGCGUAUACAAAGGGAUGCGAAAGGGCGACCUGGAGCAAAACUCACAAAGUACGUCUCAGUUCAGAUUGGAGUCUGCAACUCGACUCCAUGAAGGCGGAAUCGCUAGUAAUCGCGGAUCAGCAUGCCGCGGUGAAUACGUUCUCGGGGUUU